GGUAAUUAUAGGCCAUUUUAAAGCGAGGAUAAGCCACACAAAUGGAAUGAAUACAGAUACUUGAGGUUAUACCUCUGAACAAAAAUAUUCAUUUGGAAAUGUCAUCUAUAAUUGAGGAGAAGUUAGCAAGAGUCCAGAGGCUGAGUGUGGCUUUGAUCUCAGUGUCCAGCCUUUCUCAGUGCAAAUCAUUCUGGGCAGAAAGAAAACUAUGGAGGAAAAUAAUCAUACCCUGCUUGACGUGGGACACUAAAAUGCUGAGACCAACUUUGCAUGGAACUGUCCAGAGGAGCUGCAGCUGAAAUUAAACAUGAGGAAUCUGUUAUUAUUAUAUUUGUUUAUUCCCUGCCAAAGGAAGAAGCAAAUAGCGUAUCAGCUUCAACAGAUAAAUAUCCCUUAGAGUUGGUUCUCACUUACAAAUGUACCUAAUAUAUCUUGAUUCUUCUUUCCCUCAAACUUUCUUCUUUAUAACUUACAGAGUAAAAAUGUUUUCAAAUUAAUAAAGGGUAUGAAAAACAUCGUAGUGCUAUUAAG
rnacentral:lncRNA from 1 species